GUAAACUGUGACUGGUGUAAACGGCGCUCGUUCGAUCCUUAGUUGAGGAACCCUUGUUGCCCAUAAGAAGAGGCCUUUCUCGUUAAGAAACUGUCCCUUUUUACCAAAAACAAAAUCAUUUCACUGACCCCGAAAAAAUUCUAUUCAGAAGCGACGUGCGUUCCCGGAUUCUUGAUAGGGAGUUGCCGUGCGAACGACAAGGACGGAAGAUUCGUCGAUGGUGCAACGGAAAUCGUCUAAUAUGUCUUAACGGUGAGGUGGGAGGUAGAGGGCGCACCGACAACGUUGUCAAAUCUGAAAGGUUUAAAAUAUUUUCUUGCUACUAUGUUUACACUAUAGACGAACACCCAAAUAGGGUUGAUGUGUUUUUUUAGAAAUUUAUUCAAAUGUUUUUCGUACUGUUGUUUUUUGUAUUAACUUUUGUACUUUGUUAUUCAGUUAAAAAAUAGUUAUAAAUAAAACACACCACUUAACUAUGUACUUUUUUUUUAAAUAGGGUCGUUGCUUUGUCAAGCAAACUAAUCUAAUGAUUGUAUUGAUUAUAUAACUUAUUAUGUUUGAAUAAAUAUUUUUGUAUUUUU